rnacentral:misc_RNA from 1 species
GACUAAUAUAAUUGCUUGCUACCUCUCUAUCAAGAUACCAGAUUUUUGCACAUAAACAUUAACUGCCAGGCUUCUCUAUCCUUCUCCUCCUCUUCACACAACCUUGCUUGCUUGCAGCAGAGCCCGGCGAAGCUCAUGGGCGAUUCCUUGUAAUUGAACUGGUUUUCGAAUGACACCAUUCAUCCCGAUCUGCACGCAUCUCUCCCAAUCUUCACCAGCGCUUGCAGUUAAUGC